rnacentral:rRNA from 1 species
CCUACGGGAGGCUGCAGUAACGAAUCUUCCGCAAUGGGGGCAACCCUGACGGAGCGACGCCGCGUGCGGGACGAAGUCCUUCGGGAUGUAAACCGCUUUUAGGGGAAACCGCGUCCAGAAUAAGCCACGGCUAACUCUGUGCCAGCAGCCGCGGUAAUACAGAGGUGGCAAGCGUUGCUCGGAAUCACUGGGCUUAAAGGGCAUGUAGGCGGGCGAGUAAGCGCCUUGUGAAAUCCCCCGGCUCAACCGGGGAACCGCUUGGCGAACUGCUCGUCUCGAGGGAGACAGGGGCGACCGGAACUCUGGGUGGAGCGGUGAAAUGCGUAGAUAUCCAGGGGAACGCCGGUGGAGAAAUCGGGUCGCUGGUCUUCCUGACGCUGAGGUGCGAAAGCCAGGGGAGCGAACGGGAUUAGAUACCCUUGUAGUC